rnacentral:rRNA from 1 species
GACGAACGCUGGCGGCGUGCUUAACACAUGCAAGUCGAGCGGUAAGGCCCUUUCGGGGGUACACGAGCGGCGAACGGGUGAGUAACACGUGGGUGACCUGCCAUCAGCUCUGGGAUAAGCCUGGGAAACCGGGUCUAAUACCGGAUAUGACUCCAUGACGCAUGUUGUGGGGUGGAAAGCCUUGUGCGGCUGAGGAUGGGCCCGCGGCCUAUCAGCUUGUUGGUGGGGUGAGGCCUACCAAGGCGACGACGGGUAGCAGGCCUGAGAGGGCGACCGGCCACACUGGGACUGAGACACGGCCCAGACUCCUACGGGAGGCAGCAGUGGGGAAUCUUGCGCAAUGGGCGAAAGCCUGACGCAGCGACGCCGCGUGAGGGAUGACGGCCU